rnacentral:rRNA from 1 species
GAUGAACGCUAGCGGGAGGCCUAACACAUGCAAGCCGAGCGGUAUUGUUUCUUCGGAAAUGAGAGAGCGGCGUACGGGUGCGCAACACGUGUGCAACCUGCCUUUAUCUGGGGGAUAGCCUUUCGAAAGGAAGAUUAAUACUCCAUAAUAUAUUGAACGGCAUCGUUUAAUAUUGAAAGCUCCGGCGGAUAGAGAUGGGCACGCGCAAGAUUAGCUAGUUGGUGAGGUAACGGCUCACCAAGGCGAUGAUCUUUAGGGGGCCUGAGAGGGUGAUCCCCCACACUGGUACUGAGACACGGACCAGACUCCUACGGGAGGCAGCAGUGAGGAAUAUUGGUCAAUGGGUGCAAGCCUGAACCAGCCAUCCCGCGUGAAGGACGACUGCCCUAUGGGUUGUAAACUUCUUUUGUAUAGGGAUAAACCUACCCUCGAGAGGGUAGCUGAAGGUACUAUACGAAUAAGCACCGGCUAACUCCGUG